rnacentral:rRNA from 1 species
GAUGAACGCUAGCGGCAGGCCUAAUACAUGCAAGUCGAACGGUCCACUUCGGUGGAUAGUGGCGCACGGGUGCGUAACACGUAUGCAACCUACCUUACAUUGGGGGAUAGCCUUUCGAAAGGGAGAUUAAUACCGCAUAAGACAGUAACAUGGCAUCAUGUAGCUGUUAAAGAUUUAUCGAUGUAAGCUGGGCAUGCGUCCAAUUAGUUAGUUGGUGAGGUAAUGGCUCACCAAGACGAUGAUUGGUAGGGGAACUGAGAGGUCAAUCCCCCACACUGGCACUGAGAUACGGGCCAGACUCCUACGGGAGGCAGCAGUAGGGAAUAUUGGGCAAUGGACGCAAGUCUGACCCAGCCAUGCCGCGUGCAGGAAGAAGGCGUUCUGCGUUGUAAACUGCUUUUAUAUAGGAAGAAACGACCCUUGCGAGGGGCAUUGACGGUAUUAUAUGAAUAAGCACCGGCUAACUCCGUGCCAGCAGCCGCAGUAACAC